AUCUUGUCUUCCACACUCGCACACAUCAGAGAGAGAGAAAGAGAGAGAGAGAGAGAGAGAGAGAGAAGCUGGGUUUCUACUGCCACUGCAGGAGGCAUCCAAAGGGAUCGCAUUGAUCCCAACUCUAGAUCUUCAUUCCUUCUUCUUCUUCUUCUUCUUCUUCUAAUUAAGUUUAUAAUUAGGGAUUAGUUUGGAUCAUGCUAUCCCUUUGGAUUCCUCAUUCAGUGGCUCUACUUCAUCUCAUGCAUUGAAUAGAUCCCCGUGGGAUCGGAAGAAAAUUAUACAACUACUCAGCAAACAAUAUCUCAAUUUAAACAGGCAUUCCGGGCCGGGACUAAAUAAUCCCUCUGCAACAGAAUUAUUUAUGUCCAGCGCGCUUCAACCAAGUCCACCAGUUUUCGGUGUGCUAGAUCAACGCCCUACAAGAGAAUAAUCCAUACACGUCUAGAACCCCUUUCGGGUGGUUGCUUUGAUGGAAUGGGAAAGCAUAUCUUUGUAAAGCGGUGCAGAGCGGCCGGAUCAUCUUGACAAUUGACGGCUCAAAUCUUAAUCGAGCGAUGGACGGUUCAGAUUUGUACUCAACUGUACAUGGUGGGCGAGAGUAGACCCUUUUGAGCCCAAGUAAGAUUCUGAUCAGUGGUCGGUUUACACUUAUCACAAACAUAAACGGAAACGGAAUGCCGGGUGGAGGAUUUAACUACCAUGUCAACUGGUGGACCCGAGUUAGCAUUAUCUUUUUCAAUAUAUAUAAACGAAGGAAAAGGCCACCAGAAGAUGUAAAAGAAUAUCCACGUAACAAGAAUCUCCACUACCAUGGAGUUUUAAUACCGAAUUCGUUGGUGAAAACAAUACUAAUAUAAAAUAUUAUUGUGACA